GCUAAGAAUAUUCCGCAAUGGACGAAAGUCUGACGGAGCGACGCCGCGUGGAUGAUGAAGGCCGAAAGGUUGUAAAGUCCUUUUGCUGGGGAAGAAUAAGCGUGGGAGGGAAUGCCCGCGUGAUGACAUGAACCGGCGAAUAAGCCCCGGCUAACUACGUGCCAGCAGCCGCGGUAACACGUAGGGGGCAAGCGUUGUUCGGAAUUACUGGGCGUAAAGGGCAUGUAGGCGGCCUUGUAAGCUUGGCGUGAAAGUGCACGGCUUAACCGUGGGAGUGCGUUGAGAACUGCGAGGCUUGAGUGACGGAGAGGGAGCUAGAAUUCCUGGUGUAGGGGUGGAAUCUGUAGAUAUCAGGAAGAAUACCAAUGGCGAAGGCAAGCUCCUGGCCGAUGACUGACGCUGAGGUGCGAAAGUGUGGGGAUCAAACAGGAAUAGAUACCCGGGUAGUCC
rnacentral:rRNA from 1 species